AUUAACUCAGGGCUGGGCUGCUGCCUGUGACUCUCCCAGCUCCCUGCUCGUCCCCAGAGGUCCCUUCCGGGCACAAUCUAUUAUCUAGGAAGCCGAUCGAUGUGUGACGGCCCCAGAGCAGAGACGCCCUGAUGGUGGCGAGGGGGGCGGCCAGAACUGGUUACAAUGCUCCAGACACGGUCCAGAUCUUCCCCUCGUGGGGGGCAUCUGAAGCAAGUGUCUCAAUGAAGUACUAACUACAAUUUUCCACCUUACGUCCAUCCGAGAAGGAAACGAGUUAUUCCAGCGCAACUGGUUUUGUGGGGGACCAGUUCUGGCAAGGGUUCUUCCAAGCACUCAGAAACCAUCCUCUAAAAAGCCCUCUUUAGAGCCCUGUCCAAGGUCAAUGUCAAGAUGAUCUGUUGGCAGUGUGUACCUUUCUUCCCAUUUUACUAAGCUGGGGACACUGUCUACUUCUUUUCCGUACUGAGUAAAGAUCGAAUUCCUCAGCCUGGCCGAAAGGCCUCGCCUU